UUCUAUAACUGGAGCAUUCUGUUGGGUCGCCUUUCUUUGGAAUGGGCACCAAUAUGGGUCUCGUCCAGCCACUUGGCCAAGUACCUCUUUUCCAGAUGUCCUGCCGCAGACAAGUGAGUGCUUCCAGCGCUUCAUUGCUUGCCAAACAUUUCGAUUGGUGUUCCAUCCAUGCCUGGCACCUGUUGUUGAGCUACUAUUUUCAGUGCAGCUUAGACGCCUUCCUUCAGUAGCAUUGGCCCUGAUCAUGUGCACCCUCCUGACGUGGUGGCCUGAAGAUAGUUCUUCCUGGCGCAGCGACUGCGCAUUCUUUCCAUCACCCUUUGGUUCACUUAACCUGGGCACCGUCGAGAGGAAGGGCACUGCAUUCGUUAUCAGAAAGGGCAUUUCAAGGUCUAUCUUGAGAACAACGCUGCCUGUGAUAGGAUUGUGGCUCUCUGCACACCAGGAAAUCCAGUCAGAACAAUAAUUAUUCAAAUUUAUGUACCACCCACUAAAGUUAGUAAUGCAGACACUGAAGAAAUCUACCAAUGUCUUUGAUCUGAAAUUGGUCAGACAUGAAAUCAAAUGCAUUGAUGAUUAUUGGUGAUUGGAAUGCAAACGUUGGAAACAAGGAAGGAAGGGUAGUUAGAAAACAUGGGCUUGGCAUAGAAACGGAGCUGAAGAUCACAUGGCAGAAUCUCACAGAACCAACAACUCGUUCAUAGCAAAUACCUUUUCUCAACAACACAAGAGGACUUCUCCAGAAGGGUGACACAGAAAUGUGGGAAGAGACGACGGGGAAGCGCAAGGUCAGCCGCUAAAACCUGGCCAGGGGCCGGUGGUGGAGCAGACCCUCCAUCGCUCAGCGGUUCGCAGGAGCAUGUGCGGCUAUGAAUAGAGCUGACAGUGGAGGCACGGAAGCUCGGAGGAGAGAAGGAAGUGAGUCGCAGUGUCGCGGCAGCGCGCUCACCUCUGCGAUGGCCAUCACUCAGCAGCCGGUCCACGCAGAGCAGGAGGACGGGCAGGAAGGAGAGUGUCUCCGCUUUAUUUCUGACCACGGCCAUAGAGUCCUCGGGGUGUGAUUACAGAGCUGUGGGAUGACGUCAAGAAUAUCCCCCAUGAAGGAUCAAAAGGUCACUAGAGAGAGGAAAGAGGAAAAGACAAAGUACAGCUCAGAAGAGACCCUGCAACCUGCCCCAGGUCACGGAGCAGCUAGGGACAUGGAGAACGGAUGACGACGUCUGUGUGAGUCUGGGUACUUUGGAGAAAUAAAUCCACAGAGGCUCAUGUAUAAGAGAGA